ACACAUGCAAGUCGAACGGAAAGGCCCUGCUUGCAGGGUACUCGAGUGGCGAACGGGUGAGUAACACGUGGGUGAUCUGCCCUGCACUUCGGGAUAAGCCUGGGAAACUGGGUCUAAUACCGGAUAGGAGCCAUUUUUAGUGUGAUGGUUGGAAAGUUUUUUCGGUGUAGGAUGAGCUCGCGGCCUAUCAGCUUGUUGGUGGGGUAAUGGCCUACCAAGGCGGCGACGGGUAGCCGGCCUGAGAGGGUGGACGGCCACAUUGGGACUGAGAUACGGCCCAGACUCCUACGGGAGGCAGCAGUGGGGAAUAUUGCACAAUGGGCGCAAGCCUGAUGCAGCGACGCCGCGUGGGGGAUGACGGCCUUCGGGUUGUAAACUCCUUUCGCUAGGGACGAAGCUUUUUGUGACGGUACCUAGAUAAGAAGCACCGGCUAACUACGUGCCAGCAGCCGCGGUAAUACGUAGGGUGCGAGCGUUGUCCGGAAUUACUGGGCGUAAAGGGCUCGUAGGUGGUUUGUCGCGUCGUCUGUGAAAUUCCGGGGCUUAACUCCGGGCGUGCAGGCGAUACGGGCAUAACUUGAGUACUGUAGGGGUAACUGGAAUUCCUGGUGUAGCGGUGAAAUGCGCAGAUAUCAGGAGGAACACCGAUGGCGAAGGCAGGUUACUGGGCAGUUACUGACGCUGAGGAGCGAAAGCAUGGGUAGCAAACGGGAUUA
rnacentral:rRNA from 1 species